CAUGGACUCUACAAGGUGUCGAAAGCUUUCCACAGGGAUGCUGGCCCAUGUUGACUCCAAUGCUUCCCACACAAGUUGGCUGGAUGUCCUUUGGGUGCAGGGGAGGCUCCUCAGAGGAGGAAGGGGAUGCUCCUCAGAGGAGGAAGGGGACGCUCCUGAGAGGAGGAAGGGGAGGCUCCUCAGAGGAGGAAGUGGAGGCUCCUGAGAGGAGGAAGGGGAGGACCCUCCUCAGUGAUUUUCAUAAAAAUAAAAAUGAUAAAACAUGUAAAAAAGUUUAAUCCUUUUUAGAUAUUAGAAAUUACGGUACGUUCUUUCCAAUACAAAAGUGUAGUGUAGUGUAUUGUUUCCAAACUGCGUUACCCACUCCAGACGGCGAUGAGCGUCUUUCAGGUGAUGAUUCUUCCGUGACGUAUAAUGGACUGGACGGACGCUUCUUCAGGAACACCAACGCGGCUACUCUUUCAACCACCUCGGUAGCUUGCUAGCCAACAUAAAAGUGAAAGAUUGACGAUUUAGACCAUCUUAAUGUACAUUAUCUAAUCUCAGUGUUUUAAACACAGUUCUGUUGACGUAUUAACUGGUUAACUGUAACCUAAUUUGCAAACUUGUUAAAGAUUGAUGCUGAGCCUAGCACUAGGCUAUUCGCUAAUGCUAACGAGCUAGCUAACAUCCCUGACCAUGAGUUCAUUAAAGUACCCAUCCCCUGCUAUAGAAGAGGAGGUCUGCUGUUUGCAGAAAGAAGCUCUGGCAAUGAACAUUGAAGAAGAGGUUACAGUGAAAGAAGAGAAAGAACCUUUUAGAAUGAAAAAGGAGGAAGAGGAGGCUGUUAUAGUGAAGGAAGAAGAUGCUGUUAUAGUGAAAGAACAUUUCAGAAUGAAAAAGGAGGAAGAGGAGGCUGUUAUAGUGAAGGAAGAAGAUGCUGUUAUAGUGAAAGAACAUUUCAGAAUGAAAAAGGAGGAAGAGGAGGCUGUUAUAGUGAUAGAAGAGAAUGAACCUUUUAGAGAGGAAGAGGAUGCUGUUUCAAUAAAGGUGAAGGAGGAAGACGUUUUGGGAGUGAAAGAGGAGGAGACAGAAUAUCCGAUUACCAUCAGAGAGAGACAUGACUAUGGUGGAUCCUCUGGGGAGCCUCAACAACAUCCUGAUGCUGACGAGGCAGAGAAGAGUCUCUCCAGAUCAGAACACCAGAUGGUACAACUUGGUCUGGUCUAGCAUACAGCUUGGUUUGGUCUAGCAUACAGCUUGAUCUGGUCUAGCAUACAGCUUGGUCUGGUCUAGCAUACAGCUUGCUCUAUCUGGGUCUGGGCUGGGUUUCUGUAAAGCACAUAAUGACAUGUGUCUGUGUCCCCUCUUUAUGGUUACUAGGACAAUGCUAGCCCUUCCUCCCUCCCGGAGUCCCCGCGUCAUGCCUCUCCCGGUAGCACCUUACUGCUGGGUAUGAAGAGGUUGUCUGUGCUGCUGGUGGACUGCAGGAAAAAAAUGGGGCUGAGUGGAACUGUGAGAGGAGGAGAAGAGAAGAAAGGAUCAGAUUUGACUCAUCAAAGUAAGUGCUGUAGUUUAGUUUGAACAAAUACAAUAGAUCUGCCCACCGGUAUCUGUUACCAGGAUAACCAGCAGAGUUCUGUUAGUUGACAGGAAGAUAGACUGGUAUCUGUUACCAGGACAACCAGCAGAGUUCUGUUAGUUGACAGGAAGAUAGAGUGGAUGUUAUGAAUAUCAUAACACUGAAAAAGGAUUCUGCCAAUGAAAAGAGAGAAACCAAUAGACCAUAUAAAACCUUGAUGAAAGGUAGCUUUGGAGAGAAAGUUUCAAGAUGAUCCAAUGUAAGGUGCUUGUUUUACAAAAACUUUUCCUUAAAACAUUAUGGAUGUUACAUUGCCUGUCGCAGUCAACGCCCCUAUCUUUAAAAGACUGUAGAACAGGCAAACUAAACUCAAUACUUUGGUCAUUAAUUAACUAAUACUGGAGGAAAGCUGUGAUCAGGUUGCCUACUCAAGCAAAAGCUUCAAACUGUAACCAGUGCUGGCAACCUGGUUCAGGUUAUCAAUCAACCUACCAGGGUAGUGACAAACAGUAGAGGAAUGAAAUCAUCAACAUGGUUUGAUCAUAUCUUUACUAAUGCUGCAGAAAUGGGUUUUAAAGCAGUAUCCAGAUCCACCAGAUGUAGUGAUCACAAUAUAGUAGCCAUGUCUAGGAAAACCACAGUUCCAAAGGCUGGGACUAAUAUUGUGUACCGUAAUUUCCGGACUAUAAGCCGCUACUUUAUUCCCAACCUUUGAACCUCGCGGUUUAUACAAUGACGCGGCUAAUUUAUGGAUUUUUCCCGCUUUCACAAGAUUCAUGCUGCCAAAAAACUGAGCACCGUCACAUAAUGUGACGUAAAUCGAGCGCGCUCAAACUUCCCAUCAUUCUGAUUACGGUAGUAAUUUUUGUCACCCUCAUCAUGGCAAAGACACGGAGAAAUGCAUAUGAUGCAGCUUUCAAGUUGAAGGCGAUCGAUCUGGCUGUUGGAAAAGGAAAUAGAGCUGCUGCACGGGAGCUUGGCCUUAAUGAGUCGAUGAUAAGACGUUGGAAACAGCAGCGUGAGGAACUGACUCAGUGCAAAAAGACAACAAAAGCUUUCAGAGGGAAGAAAAGCAGAUGGCCCAAAGUAUUUGCAGCCACUCGACAUCAGUGUAAAUCGUGCAUUUAAGGUGGCGCUCCUUGUUCAGUGGGAGGCUUGGAUGACAAGUGGGGAGAAAUCCUUCACUAAAAUGGGCCGCAUGCGAAGAGCAACUUAUGGUCAAGUCUGCCAGUGGGUCCUGACAGCGUGGAGCAUUGUCAAAAAAAUCCACUAUCAUCAACGGGUUUCGAAAGGCUGGACUG
ensembl:lncRNA